rnacentral:rRNA from 1 species
AUUGAACGCUGGCGGCAGGCCUAACACAUGCAAGUCGAGCGGAUGAAGGGAGCUUGCUCCUGGAUUCAGCGGCGGACGGGUGAGUAAUGCCUAGGAAUCUGCCCGGUAGUGGGGGAUAACGUCCGGAAACGGGCGCUAAUACCGCAUACGUCCUGAGGGAGAAAGUGGGGGAUCUUCGGACCUCACGCUAUCAGAUGAGCCUAGGUCGGAUUAGCUAGUUGGUGGGGUAAAGGCCUACCAAGGCGACGAUCCGUAACUGGUCUGAGAGGAUGAUCAGUCACACUGGAACUGAGACACGGUCCAGACUCCUACGGGAGGCAGCAGUGGGGAAUAUUGGACAAUGGGCGAAAGCCUGAUCCAGCCAUGCCGCGUGUGUGAAGAAGGUCUUCGGAUUGUAAAGCACUUUAAGUUGGGAGGAGGGGCAGUAAGUUAAUACCUUGCUGUUUUGACGUUACCAACAGAAUAAGCACCGGCUAACUUCGUG